AAGAUGAACAAAUCGUGCUAGGUCAAUGAUAUUAUUAUAAGACUUUUUACGAAGAUGCAUUAUUAUUAGUACAUCUCAUUUCCAUUAAGGUUAUGCAACACUGACCCCUAAGUCAAGGUCUAUUGACUUUAUAAAAUUUUUGCUUACUGUACGUGUUUGUGAUUAGGUCUGAUUUAGGGGAAGAACUAGCGACAGUCAUGGAUUCAGAAUUUUCAAGAUGGCCAAGUGACUGCUCUAAGAGGGGCCCCACUCAAGUCAUGCAUCAGUGAUUCCUGAUCUCUGUGUCAACAGUUUAUUGUUUUGCGUAUCAAGUAAAUAUCAAAUUUUCAUUUCCUUCUGAUUGCAUACAGUCAUGGAAACACUUUAUUUUCACUUGAGCUUGUACCUUGUAUAUAUGUUUGUUUUAAUUUCUGUUCAAAAGCUGAGAUUUUGUUAUAUUUAUAAUAUUUAUUAUUAGUACCAAAAGUUCUACUUUUCUAUGUAUUUAUAUUCUUUAUGAAUUCUGUAUAUAUAUAUAUAUAUACCUAACUGGGUAGGCCAAUAAAACAUCUGAUGACAUAUCUAUUGCUUAAUAAUUUAGUUUUGGAUGUAUCAAAAAUGUCUUCUGAUUGGCUGAAAGUUUUUGUACAUCAGCUCAAAGGCAAAAUUUUGUCAAGUGAAUGUG
rnacentral:lncRNA from 1 species